rfam:Ovis aries breed Texel chromosome 4, whole genome shotgun sequence.
CCUUUGCUGCUCUGGUGGCUAAGAUUCUUGGUUUUCAUCCAGGCUACCCAGGUUCAAUUCCUGGGCAGGGAA